CCCGACUGCCUGUCCCCUGAGUGCCUGCGCAGCUUCCUGGGCGCGCUGCUUCGGGCCACGCCCCCCGGCUCCCAGCGCACCACGCUGAGGGUCCUCCGACGACUGGUGCAGACAUCCGACGGAGGUGAUUGGUUGGAAUGUUCCGAAGGGGCGGAGUUAGUGCGCCUUCUGCAAGUUCUGGCUGAAUCCAGCAGGUCUCGUAAUGAAGGGGUGGCAGUACAAGCAGCUGAGAUCCUCCAGGAGAUCCACGUCCUAUAGAGCCUUCUGGAACCUUCCCUGGGCCAUGGCUGAGAUUGUGGAACUAUGCGACGGAAUAGCGCCUUUGACAGUCGGUUCUCUUAAAUCCUUCAAGAGUACUUUGCUCUCUACUCUCUAUAAACAGAGCAGAUUUAAACCUACUGGAUGCUUUCCCAAAAUGACAUGCAUUUAGCCACUAUAAGUACUUAUUUUUUUGAAAUGCCUUACCUAUUGUACCUGCUAUUAUACUGUUGAUGUUUCUUUGAGACAAGGAGAAUGUUGACAACUCUGUAAAGAACCUUGAUGUUCUGAAUGCGAUGCAAAAGCCAGUCUGAUCUGUGAGCGAAAAAAUGUCUUUGCUGUUGGUGGGAGGCUGUUUGUAAACUGAUAUUUUACAUAUUACGUCAUAUAGAAGACUUUAUGGUUUGUUAAUGUCUGCCGUGUAUUUGUUGAGAAAUAGUUUUAGAUGAAUAAAGAUUGAUGAAGUUGCAUUAAUUGUGAUGCAGUCGCUCAACAAAGACUUGAAAGUUCAGCGGUGGUGUUUGGGGUUAAGAAACGUGGGU